CGUAGGCGGUUUUUUAAGUUCAGAUGUGUAAUCCCCGAGCUCAACUUGGGAACUGCAUCUGAGACUGGAAGGCUAGAGUACUGGAGAGGGUGGUGGAAUUCCUCGUGUAGCGGUGAAAUGCGUAGAGAUGAGGAGGAACACCAGUGGCGAAGGCGGCCACCUGGACAGUAACUGACGCUGAGGCGCGAAAGUGUGGGUAGCAAACAGGAUUAGAUACCCUGGUAGUCCACGCUGUAAACGAUGAACACUUGGUGUGGAGGGAGUUGACCCCUUCCGUGCCGGAGCUAACGCGUUAAGUGUUCCGCCUGGGGAGUACGGUCGCAAGGCUGAA
rnacentral:rRNA from 1 species